rnacentral:rRNA from 1 species
CAGUCGCCGCGGGAAUACGGAGGAUCCGAGCGUUAUCCGGAAUUAUUGGGUUUAAAGGGUGCGUAGGCGGAUAGAUAAGUCAGUGGUGAAAGACGGUGGCUCAACCAUCGCAGUGCCGUUGAUACUGUUUAUCUUGAAUAUGGAUGAGGUAGGCGGAAUGUGGCAAGUAGCGGUGAAAUGCAUAGAUAUGCCACAGAACACCGAUUGCGAAGGCAGCUUACCAAGGCAAAAUUGACGCUGAGGCACGAAAGCGUGGGGAUCGAACAGGAUUAGAUACCCGAGUAGUCCCUGUCUCUUAUAU